rnacentral:rRNA from 1 species
UUAUUUUGACCGUGCAAAGGUAGCAUAAUCAUUAGUUUUUUAAUUGGGAGCUUGUAUGAAAGAUUGAACAAGAAAAAAACUGUUUCUAUUAUAAAAUUUGAAUUUAACUUUUAAGUUAAAAGGCUUAAAUAAUCUAAAGGGACGAUAAGACCCUAUAAAUCUUUAUAUAAAAAUAAAUUUGAUGGUUAUAAAUUGUAAAAUUAAAAUUUGUAUUAUAUUUAAUUGGGGCGAUAUAAUUAUAAAUGUAAGUAACUAGUUAUUAAGUACACACAAGUUUUUUGAGUAUUAGUUGAUCCUUGGUAAAGAAUGAUAGAUUAAGUUACUUUAGGGAUAACAGCAUAAUUUCUUUUGAGAGUUCAUAUUAAAGAAGAAGAUUGUGACCUCGAUGUUUAAUUAAAAUUUCUUUAUAGUGCAGUAGCUAUAAUAGAGGGUCUGUUCGACCUUUAA